UAAAUGGAUGAGUUGAUGGCGAAUACAUGGAUGGUUGGACCUCUAUACAUGGACGCCUGUGAAUGUAUCAAUAGACACAUAUCUAUCUUCAUUUGAGACAGUCAAGAAUUUAAAGAGGCUCUACCAAUCAAAUCUCAAUCAAGAGGUUGGACACAAUUAUAGGAUGGAGCGUGUUACACGCUGAUCAAUAUAUCCAACUUCACCAGUGAUGGGCCUUGCGUGUCACGGGAAAUUUCCCUCGAGGCUAAAGAAUUAGCUCCAAUUUUGCACAAUGGAAUAUCCCAUGAUGAAUUCACAGAAACAAAUUAAAAUUGGAAGAAGACGUUAAAAGCAUAAGAUUACAGAAUCUACCACAAAAGUUUGGACAGAUGAACUGAUUUGCCAAACUGCUGAAGAAACGAAAACUGACAAGAACGAGUUUCUGCAGGAUAGAUGUCUUGGAAGGUGGAUGAUACCGAAAUUGGACAGACGGCCGUUGCCAAUGGCAACCUCUCUUCAUAUCCAUUUGGUAAUUUGAAAAUUUAAAUUCCGAACUUAAACUAUUCUAGAAAACAGUUAUGACAAAUGAGCACUGGAAAAAAUAAGAAUAAAGAUAAACCAGAAAGAGAGCAAAGAGGGCAGGCUUGACAACCACAGAAAGUGAUCAAGCAAUGAAAUGAGAAGUGUUUGUCAGAGGAGGAUAGCAGACAUGCAUUUUAUCCAAGGGAACCUGCAAAGAUGCAACAUGCCAGCCAGCCUGAAGUUGCAGUCACAAUGAUGCCUCAAAUUCCACAGUUAGGAGACAGAAACUGUAAGAAGUAACUCCUGGAAAAUUGCAUCUGCUUACUAAACCUUAAUUCGCAUACAGCACUCAGCAUGGAGACUGUCCAUUCUGGUAUCACAACACUUAAGCAAUAUGAUUUCUAUAUUUGCAUUGAUAUAAAAUCGGUCAACAACAGCCAGAUGUCUUGCAUGGGAUAAGGGACGGAGAAAAAAACGAGUAACAACUGACCAAAUAAUGAAGUGGUACAUACAUGCAUCUUAAUGCUACUUUGCAAAAAUCUACCAUUACGCUACCGUAUAUGCCACGGCUGUAAUGUUUAACAGGCAACGUCUACCUGAUCUAAUUAAGCAAAUGCAAGAAGAUGAUCUGAUCAUUCGCAACCAUCAGAGGUAUAAUUAUUGGAAAUAAGAUUGCUGAAGGACAAACACAAGAGGGCGUCUCAGGGGAUAUUGAGAUGGCUCAUUGCGAAAUAUGCUUCCUGUUUAAAGGGAAACAUUGCUUUUGUUUUUUUAAAUUAUUUUUGUUAUAAAUCUACUGUAUCUUUAUUUGUUUGUUAAAUUAGGUUGGAAUUUCAAAAAUUUGUAUUGCUUUUGUGUUGUUCACAGCCACAUGAAAGAAUACUCUUAUGAUGGAAUGAUACAUUUCCUCAAAUGUAAUUAAUUAAAUAAUUAUUUAAUUAAUCACCAAAUUUAUUGUGUAUAAACGUAAUAGUUUUACCAGCAAAAAACUCAGUGUUCUUUCUGUAUUUGUACUUUAAUUAAAUUAUUGCCAAUUAAAUACAUUAAAAUUAUUAAAUAAAUAACAUUAUUUGAAAGUGCUUGCAUUUUUAUAUAGAAAAUUUCGAAUGUUAUGCAAUACCUUUUUUCUUGCAGGGUUUUAAGAUGAAAAGGGUAUCGAACGCCCAUAUCACACCCUAUAAAAACAUUUGACGUUUCUUUUUUCUCUAUGAAUGUGCUAUUUUUGCAGUUUGCUCUGCUUUUUGUCUCUUUUGUAAUUUGUCUGUUGUGAUGAGGACUCCCCUGAAAAUCAGCUUUGAUGAGUGGGACAUUUCCUCUUAAAAUAUUAAUAAAAGAAAGAAAGAAGAAGAACUGGAAAAGCAUGGACAAAUACUGAACUUUUUGUCUGGAGUAUUUGUAGGACCUACAUCAUAUGCAGAAAGCUGUGAAAAAUUGUUUUGAAUUCAAGAAGAAAUUCCCCCGAAUAAUGGCCUGAUAUCAUUUUAUGACGUUAUGUUAUGUUACGUUUGCUUAUUCCGAUGUCAAGUAUUUGAAUAGACCUCAUCUUUGAAUGGUAUAAAAAGACAAACCAUUCAGAGUUUGUACUAUUAUAUAAUGCAAUUCAUAUGUCAUAAGGAACUUUCCUCUUUUAAAAUUAUCUUAGAUGUAAUUAACAAAGGAGUCAUGAUUGAAUUAUGUAAAUAAUCCAUAUUUUUGAGGGAAUAAAAUUUGUGAUUAAAAAGCA
rnacentral:lncRNA from 1 species